rnacentral:rRNA from 1 species
UGAGGAAUAUUGGGCAAUGCCCGCAAGGGUGACCCAGCAACGCCGCGUGGAGGAUGAAUGUCGUAAGAUUGUAAACUCCUGUUAGAGGGGAAGAAUAGUACCGGUUGGACCGGUAUAUGACUGUACCCUCAGAGAAAGCCCCGGCUAACUACGUGCCAGCAGCCGCGGUAAUACGUAGGGGGCAAGCGUUGUCCGGAUUUACUGGGUGUAAAGGGCGCGCAGGCGGGAUAAAAAGUCAGUGGUGAAAUCCUACAGCUUAACUGUAGAACUGCCUUUGAUACUUGUAUUCUUGAGUUCGGGAGAGAGAGACGGAAUUCCAGGUGUAGUGGUGAAAUACGUAGAUAUCUGGAAGAACACCUGUUGCGAAGGCGGUCUCUUGGUCCGACACUGACGCUGAGGCGCGAAAGCGUGGGGAGCAAACA